rnacentral:sRNA from 1 species
GACAUCCAGGUCAUUUGAAUUAUCUUAUAUAAUUAAAUGUCUCUGACUUGAUUUUUUCAAAAAAAAGUUAUGGUGGCUAUGUAUAUGUACUUAGCACAAAGUUGUUAAUCAAAAUAAUGUAUAUCCCCAAAUCAAAAGUCACCAAAAGAGGUUUUUGUUCAUCUAUAAAUGUAAUUUGUUGUUUUGUCCAUAUUUUAUUCCUAGAAAAAAGAUUUUUACGGAAUAUUGUUUCACAAGUAGAAAAAAAACCAAAUGGCCAUACAGUGUGUAUAGAAAAUCCUUUAAAGUUUGAGGUUUGGUGCAGCUUCAGUUUACAAUGUUUUUGUCUUUGUAUUCAUCUAUACAGAAGUGUAAUGUAUAAUGAAAUUUUCAAUGGCAAAAUAAAAAUGUUAUUUUACUUG